rnacentral:rRNA from 1 species
UACAGAGGGUGCGAGCGUUGUUCGGAAUUACUGGGCGUAAAGCGCGCGCAGGCGGCCUUUUAAGUCUGUCGGUGAAAUGCCGGGGCUCAACCCCGUGCCCGCCGGAGAUACUGGGAGGCUGGAGACGAGUAGAGGCAAGCGGAAUUCCGGGUGUAGCGGUGGAAUGCGUAGAGAUCCGGAAGAACACCGGAGGCGAAGGCGGCUUGCUGGGCUUGGUCUGACGCUGAGGCGCGAAAGCGUGGGGAGCAAACAGG